CCUACGGGAGGCAGCAGUGAGGAAUAUUGGGCAAUGGCCGAGAGGCUGAACCAGCCAAGUCGCGUGAGGGAAGAAUGUCCUAUGGAUGGUAAACCUCGUUUGUGCGGGGAUAAAGUUGUCCACGUGAGGAUCUUUGCAUGUACCGCAUGAAUAAGGGCAGGCUAAUUCCGUGCCGGCAGCCGCGGUAAUACGGAAGGGCCGGGCGGUAUGCGGAUUGAUUGGGUUUAAAGGGAGCGUAGGCCGGUCUUUAAGCGGGCCGUGAAAUUUUGUGGCUCAACCAUGAGAGUGCGGCGCGAACUGGAGACCUGGAGUGCGCGGAAGGCAGGCGGAAUUCGUGGUGUAGCGGUGAAAUGCUUAGAUAUCACGAAGAACCCCGAUUGCGAAGGCAGCCUGCCGCAGCGUUACUGACGCUGAAGCGCGAAAGCGCGGGUAUCGAACAGGAUUAGAUACCCCUGUAGUC
rnacentral:rRNA from 1 species